rnacentral:rRNA from 1 species
AUCGAACGCUGGCGGCAGGCCUAACACAUGCAAGUCGAACGAGUGGCGGACGGGUGAGUAAUGUCUGGGAAACUGCCUGAUGGAGGGGGCUAACUAGGGGAAACGGUAGCUAAUACCGCAUACCAUCAGAUGCGCCCAGAUGGGAGUAGCUUGUUGGGGUGGUAACGGCUCACCAAGUCGACGAUCCCUAGCUGGUCUGAGAGGAUGACCCGCCACACUGGAACUGAGACACGGUCCAGACUCCUACGGGAGGCAGCAGUGGGGAAUAUUCGACAAUGGGCGCAAGCCUGAUGCAGCCACGCCGCGUGUAUGAAGAAGGCCUUCGGGUUGUAAAGUACUUUCAGCGGGGAAGCGUUACCCAAAGAGGAAGCACCGGCUAACUCCGUGCCAGCCGCCGCGGUAAUAC